GACGUAGGAGGCGAGCGUUGUCCGGAUUUAUUGGGCGUAAAGAGCUCGUAGGCGGUUCGGUAAGUCAGGUGUGAAAUCUCCACGCUCAACGUGGAGGCGCCACCUGAAACUGCCGUGACUCGAGUCCGGUAGGGGAGUGUGGAAUUCCAGGUGUAGCGGUGAGAUGCGUAGAUAUCUGGAGGAACACCGGUGGCGAAGGCGACAUCCUGGACCGGUAUUGACGCUGAGGCGCGAAAGCCAGGGGAGCAAACGGG
rnacentral:rRNA from 1 species